UACGUAGGUGGCAAGCGUUGUCCGGAUUUAUUGGGUUUAAAGGGUGCGUAGGUGGCCCUGUAAGUCAGUGGUGAAAUAUCUCAGCUUAACUGAGAGGGUGCCAUUGAUACUGCAGGGCUUGAGUACAGAUGAGGUAGGCGGAAUUGACGGUGUAGCGGUGAAAUGCAUAGAUAUCGUCAAGAACACCGAUAGCGAAGGCAGCUUACCAAGCUGUAACUGACACUGAGACGCGAAAGCGUGGGGAGCAAACAGG
rnacentral:rRNA from 1 species